UACGUAGGGUCCGAGCGUUGUCCGGAAUUAUUGGGCGUAAAGAGCUCGUAGGCGGUUUGUCGCGUCUGCUGUGAAAACUCGAGGCUCAACCUCGGGCUUGCAGUGGGUACGGGCAGACUAGAGUGCGGUAGGGGUGACUGGAAUUCCUGGUGUAGCGGUGAAAUGCGCAGAUAUCAGGAGGAACACCGGUGGCCGAAGGCGGGUC
rnacentral:rRNA from 1 species